CAAACACAAACAGUUCCACUUGGAGAGAAAAAGGCAGCGCAAGCCAAGAGAAACAGAUGUCCGCCAAUUCCAAGCACAGGCGUUUACUGAAGCAUUUGAAAGGGAACUAAGAAGACAUAAAGUUCAAGAGAAUAUUGGACCUCUAAGAAUACAUGAGAAGGAGGAGGAAACAGAAAAAAUAUACAGAGGAGAAGCUGUUCGUAAAGGAACUCCAGAAUGUAGUCAGCCCUGGAAGAUUUACUCUAGAAAAACCACAACGCAGAGUCUAAGAGGUGGCCUCCCAAAGCCAAAUAAAGCAGUUCCAAGUAAGAACCACAGAAUUGUACUUUAUGGAAAACUGGCAACCUUUGAAAGCAUGUGCAACAUUCCAAGGACACAGCACUGAAAGCUAACAUCCACCAGUUAGCCGAAGAAAGUUUUUUUUUUUUCCCAAUCACUGCCAUGUGGCUGGUUUUCCGUAGAGGGCUAAAACUCUUCAAUAAGGAAGUACUUCA
rnacentral:lncRNA from 1 species